GAUGGAGCAACGCCGCGUGAGUGAAGAAGGUUUCGGCUCGUAAAACUCUGUUGUUAAAGAAGAACAUAUCUGAGAGUAACUGUUCAGGUAUUGACGGUAUUUAACCAGAAAGCCACGGCUAACUACGUGCCAGCAGCCGCGGUAAUACGUAGGUGGCAAGCGUUGUCCGGAUUUAUUGGGCGUAAAGCGAGCGCAGGCGGUUUUUUAAGUCUGAUGUGAAAGCCUUCGGCUCAACCGAAGAAGUGCAUCGGAAACUGGGGAACUUGAGUGCAGAAGAGGACAGUGGAACUCCAUGUGUAGCGGUGAAAUGCGUAGAUAUAUGGAAGAACACCAGUGGCGAAGGCGGCUGUCUGGUCUGUAACUGACGCUGAGGCUCGAAAGUAUGGGUAGCAAACAGGAUUAGAUACCCUGGUAGUCCAUACCGUAAACGAUGAGUGCUAAGUGUUGGAGGGUUUCCGCCCUUCAGUGCUGCAGCUAACGCAUUAAGCAUUCCGCCUGGGAGUACGGCCGCAAGGCUGAAACUCAAAGGAAUUGACGGGGGCCCGCACAAGCGGUGGAGCAUGUGGUUUAAUUCGAAGCUACGCGAAGAACCUUACCAGGUCUUGACAUACUAUGCAAAUCUAAGAGAUUAGACGUUCCCUUUGGGGACAUGGAUACAGGUGGUGCAUGGUUGUCGUCAGCUCGUGUCGUGAGAUGUGGG
rnacentral:rRNA from 2 species